rnacentral:rRNA from 1 species
UACGUAGGUGGCAAGCGUUGUCCGGAUUCACUGGGUGUAAAGGGUGCGCAGGCGGAUUGGCAAGUCAGAGGUGAAAUCCCUCGGCUUAACCGGGGAACUGCGUCUGAUACUGGAUGGCUUGAGUUUGGGAGAGGGAUGCGGAAUUCCAGGUGUAGCGGUGAAAUGCGUAGAUAUCUGGAGGAACACCGGUGGCGAAGGCGGCAUCCUGGACCAACACUGACGCUGAGGAGCGAAAGCCAGGGGAGCAAACGGG